AGAAGAGAAAGUCAGUCAGUGACAAACGGUAUUUGUGUGAAUGUCUCAAAAGAGUUAAAACCAGAUUGUGGUGUUUUAUAGUUUACUAACCAGGCAUAAUGUGUGUCUACUGUCAGUGGGGCAGUCUUAGGCUGUGUCCCCCAAAUGAUACCCUAUUCCCUAUAUAGUGCACUACUUUUGACCAGCGUCCUAUGGACCCUGGUCAAAAGUAGUGCACUGAAUAGGGAAUAGGGCGUCAUUUUGGACGUAGUCUUUACAGUAGUAGUUGUGACUGGGCCCUAUGCCAUUUAAGGUGGGUAAAGUGAAAGUGGAGUUGAGGUAGAAGCCAGGGCUAGUGGAGGCAGAAGAGGAGAGGUCAGGGGACUCUAUCUCCAACACAUGGCAGUAGUACUGUGCUGCUGGGUUGAGGUAGAAGCCAGGGCUAGUGGAGGCAGAAGAGGAGAGGUCAGGGGACUCUCUAUCUCCAACACAUGGCAGUAGUACUGUACACUGUGCUGCUGGGUUGAGGUAGAAGCCAGGGCUAGUGGAGGCAGAAGAGGAGAGGUCAGGGGACUCUCUAUCUCCAACACAUGGCAGUAGUACUGUACACUGUGCUGCUGGGUUGAGGUAGAAGCCAGGGCUAGUGGAGGCAGAAGAGGAGAGGUCAGGGGACUCUCUAUCUCCAACACAUGGCAGUAGUACUGUACGCUGUGCUGCUGGGUUUGACCAACAAGUGACUUCCUCAUCACCAAUGCUGGUGGUUCAAGCCCAGUUAUUUCAUCAUCUGCUUAAUGCUGCCCCAGUCUCUUUAAUGAAACCACCUGUGGCUUUUAGUGCAGGUUUGUAGCUUGUUCUAAAGUAGCAGACAGUCUCACCACUCACAAUGCAGACAAAUAAAUAGUUGGUUCCAUCAUUAUUAGAUUUAUUCGACAUGAAUGUUUUAGUUUUUUGGUUGAUGUCCUUCUGGUCUUUUUGGAAACCUUACAAAAUGUUGUAAUGAUAGAUGAACAGUGUCCGUGUCUUUCUCGUUACCUGACAGUGUUGUAGACAGUAAAACUGGUCCAAUCUGUGGACAACAGAAUAGUUCAUUAAGCCCCAUAUCCUUUUCAAAGCAACUGUACAAAACCAUUACCUGGGGUGAAACAUGUUUAAAACUGUAGAAAAGUGAUUUUUAAUACACACUCAUCACCUUAACUACUGAUUAGCUUACAGGGACUGCUAGAUCUAUCGCCUUCUGCUUAGCGCUUCAGUCGUCUCUCCUCACUGUAAACAUGUCUGCUACGGGAAAUCACUUGAAAACAGAUGGUAGAUUCUCAAUCAUUUGUCUUUACAGAGUGACUAUGUUGUAUCCUGGAUAUUUAAAACCGUUUAAAAACAGUUGGUUUUCUUUGUAAAACGUUUUGUGGAUUGAACUUUUGUUCUUACUGGAGGCCCUCAGUACAGCAGUACGGUACUUACUGGAGGCCCUCAGUACAGCAGUACGGUACUUACUGGAGGCCCUCGGUACAGCAGUACAGUACUUACUGGAGGCCCUCGGUACAGCAGUACAGUACUUACUGGAGGCCCUCGGUACAGCAGUACAGUACUUACUGGAGGCCCUCAGUACAGCAGUACAGUACUUACUGGAGGCCCUCAGUACAGCAGUACAGUACUUACUGGAGGCCCUCAGUACAGCAGUACAGUACUUACUGGAGGCCCUCAGUACAGCAGUACAGUACUUACUGGAGGCCCUCAGUACAGCAGUACAGUACUUACUGGAGGCCCUCAGUACAGCAGUACAGU
ensembl:lncRNA